CAGCAGCCGCGGUAAUACGUAGGUGGCGAGCGUUGUCCGGAAUUAUUGGGCGUAAAGGGAGCGCAGGCGGGCGAGUAAGUCUUUCUUAAAAGUGCGGGGCUCAACCCCGUGAGGGGAGAGAAACUACUCAUCUUGAGUGCAGGAGAGGAAAGCGGAAUUCCUAGUGUAGCGGUGAAAUGCGUAGAUAUUAGGAAGAACACCAGUGGCGAAGGCGGCUUUCUGGACUGUAACUGACGCUGAGGCUCGAAAGCCAGGGGAGCGAACGGGAUUAGAGACCCGCGUAGUCCCUGUCUCUUAUACA
rnacentral:rRNA from 1 species